ACCGAUAUACAGUAAGACUAAUUUUCUUUGAAAUUACAGAGUCAUCUGAUGAACAUUUGAUCCAAGUGAGCACAAUUUACAGGGAAAUUUAGAGUGGUAUAGGUUUGUGUUUGAACUCAUGUAUACAUACAUAUACAUUUGUAUGGGGAGAAAUAAUUUAAAAGUCAAGGUUUUAAAUCUUUCAUAGUCUUCUGAAUUGUAUUUAUUUUAUUUCAGCUACGCAAGCAGCGUGUCUUACACACAAUAUAAUGAAUGCUAUUUGCAUGAAAAGAUCCCCAACAGAUCAUUCCUCUCCUACUUAUAAUUGUGGCUGUUGGUAUGAAACGUAAAAUAGCAUACAGUAUAUUUUAUCUUGUAUUUUCAACUAAUAUAUGAAGAGUAAUCAGUUGGUGUAUUCUCCACAACAGAAGCGAAAACCGAGCCCUUAAAGAAAUCUUUCUUUCUCCUCCUUUGAUCGUAAACAGUGACUAGGACAUGAGUAGAAACUGAGGUUCCCUGGAAUGACAUGAUAACUGUGCAGCAGGUGGCAGUGAGACGUGCAUGUAGUCUGCAUCAUCUUAGAAAGGAUAAUCCCCUCUGCUUGUAUUUCCACAGCCUUUUUAUCCCAUCUUCAAAGCUUCAUAUUCAAGCUAAUGUCCUUCUGGGCAACGGUGUCUGGGUAGCUCUCUUUUUAAUCAGCCUGUCAGAGCCACUCUGUAAUCAGGCUGAGGCGUACUUAUUGAUCAGUUGAUCUUUCCUCACUUUCCAAAGCUUGCCACUCCUGCAGCCUUUUCACUAUGCGCAGAACCCUAUGCAGGCGUAAAAUAACUCAGUGAAUGCAUCUCAGCAUCUUUAGAUGAGGUUUGACUAGAACAAGAAGAUAUCAUAUAUGACUACUCUAACCAAGCUCAAAUGAGAAGCAGAGACAUGUUCCGAUUCCUGCAAUAAUCAAGAAAGUUUAUUUCCUAGAGGGGGAUGCUCUUUAUUGAGCUUUGUUCCAGUCUAGUAGCCUAUGGCAAUAAGCUGGAGAGUGAGACUGAGGCUGAUGAAAUGCAGAGGACAGAAUGAAAAUGCAUGAAAAAUUCUGAUGAC